GAGACAGCAGUAGCCACGGUAAAACGUAGGGUGCAAGCGUUAUCCGGAAUUAUUGGGCGUAAAGAGCUCGUAGGCGGUUUGUCGCGUCUGCUGUGAAAACUGGAGGCUCAACCUCCAGCCUGCAGUGGGUACGGGCAGACUAGAGUGCGGUAGGGGAGAUUGGAAUUCCUGGUGUAGCGGUGGAAUGCGCAGAUAUCAGGAGGAACACCGAUGGCGAAGGCAGAUCUCUGGGCCGUAACUGACGCUGAGGAGCGAAAGCGUGGGGAGCGAACAGGAUUAGAUACCCCGGUAGUCCCUGUCUCUUAUAC
rnacentral:rRNA from 1 species